rnacentral:rRNA from 1 species
UACGGGGGGUGCAAGCGUUGUUCGGAAUCAUUGGGCGUAAAGGGCGUGUAGGCGGCUAGAUAAGUCAGAUGUGAAAUCCCUGGGCUUAACCCAGGAAGUGCAUUUGAAACUGUUUGGCUUGAGUAGGGGAGAGGAAAGUGGAAUUCCUGGUGUAGAGGUGAAAUUCGUAGAUAUCAGGAGGAACACCGGUGGCGAAGGCGACUUUCUGGCCCUAUACUGACGCUGAGACGCGAAAGCGUGGGUAGCAAAC